ensembl:lncRNA
AGUGCAGCCCAGGAAUCCAAGCGGGGAAGUUCGGGGAGAGCGCUGCUGGGGAGAGGUGUGCGGAACGGCAUGGAGAUCAGCGGGACUUCCUGCCGAGGACCGGCCCAGCCUUCUGCAGGCGGAGUGGCAGCUGCUGCGGUUGGGAUUGAAAAGCCUGAUGGGGCAGCGUGCUGAAAUAUAAUUAUUAUGACGCGGAAAAAAAUUAAUCGGCUUGCAAAGAGGAGAGAUCACUGUGUUCACAGUUCACUCCUGAAGGAGAGGACAUCUGCAAAAUGCUCAACGGCAUUGGCUUGGUGACUAGGAGAGAGCAAGGCACUGAAAAAGGGAAAGAGUGGAAGGAGAAGGAAAUGCAAUCAGUUCAUUUUAACCUCAGUAUCUCAGUAUUAGUUAAAAUUCCCAAGCUAACUUUUUCAAUUAAAUUCAGUAAGAAACUGCAAGCAAGAACCACGAAACUCCAGGCAAGGACCAAGAAGCCUGGCAGCAUGCACCAUGUUGCAGCAGGCCUCUGAUGCUGCACCCCUGUGCCCUCUUCAGCGUGUACAUACAGGUGUACAUAUACAUGUGUACCCGCCACAGACAGCUGAAUAGUAAUCCUCCCCUCAUUUAUUUCUUGCAAAAUCAUUUCUCAGCAAAUCUGGAUGGUGCAGACGAGUCUGAUGAGAAGAAUGACCUGGUUCUGAGUGGGGAGGUCAGAGGACACAUCCUGCACGUCCCCGAAAUGGCAAAUGAAGCAGAUGUUUGCUGUUAUUGACUACUACUGGGGUGCCAGCAUUUCUUCCUCACUAACCUCAUGCUGCAAGCAGCAAUCAUGCAUCACCUUCUUUUCUUCUAAUGGUUGCUCAGGCAUGUAAUAAGUUGAAUUUCAUCUUGCUGAUGAAUCUUAUUUUCGUUGUUUGGCAUGACAAGCAAUUCUGUUUUAAAAAGUGAAUGGAGACAUCUGGCUUUGGCAGGGUGACUAAAAUGAGCUGUGUUUGGCCAGCGUUUCUCUUGAUUCACCUUAAUUUGCUGACACUAGAUCCAACUGUGACAGCAGACAUAACAGGAAAACAAGCUGCAGAAGCCACCCUUUUUACACCUGCCCUAUUUUCCCUCAGACAACUUUAUCCUUCUUGGUGUAAAACCAUGAGGUAUUCCUUCUGCCACCUGAGCAGUGCCAGUGCUGCAUCACCCCUGAGCACAGGCACUGAACCUGUGAGUACACGGGAGAUAUUCCUGUUACUUCUGCAGGCUCCACUGAUGGCAGCAGUACUGUCUGCCAAGCAAGCACCACGUUCAGCUCUUCCUUGACCACUUGUCUCAACCUUGCACUUACAGAGAGAGGCACAACACUGCUCUGACUCAACAGCAUCUUGCACAGUGUGCAGGACUGGGGUAAGUCACUGCACAAGCUUCAGGACAAAGAAUAAGACUCAUAAUCUGGGGUCACUGGUGAGAGACUGCUGCUGCUUCAUCCCCCUUGUAAUAGCUUUCUCCCUUCACAAUGAGUUAUUGCACUCCUAUUUUUGGCUGUGCUUCAUUUGGGAGGUUGGCACAACAAUACUGUUUGGCAGACACAGUCCUGCCCUGGCAAUCUACUGUUUUGGGGAUUGUUUGCUUUUAACUAAUUCAUUAUAUUGCUGUACUGCAACGUAUAUCACUUGUUUUCCCCUC